GGGACAACAGCUGGAAACGGCUGCUAAUACCGCAUGACGCAUUCGGAUGGCAUCAUCUGAAUGCCAAAGAUUUAUCGCUGAAAGAUGGCCUCGCGUCUGAUUAGAUAGUUGGCGGGGUAACGGCCCACCAAGUCGACGAUCAGUAGCCGGACUGAGAGGUUGACCGGCCACAUUGGGACUGAGAUACGGCCCAGACUCCUACGGGAGGCAGCAGUGGGGAAUAUUGGGCAAUGGGCGCAAGCCUGACCCAGCAACGCCGCGUGAAGGAAGAAGGCUUUCGGGUUGUAAACUUCUUUUAAGAGGGAAGAGCAGAAGACGGUACCUCUUGAAUAAGCCACGGCUAACUACGUGCCAGCAGCCGCGGUAAUACGUAGGUGGCAAGCGUUGUCCGGAUUUACUGGGUGUAAAGGGCGUGCAGCCGGGUGCGCAAGUCAGAUGUGAAAUCUCAGGGCUCAACCCUGAAACUGCAUUUGAAACUGUGCAUCUUGAGUGCCGGAGAGGUAAUCGGAAUUCCUUGUGUAGCGGUGAAAUGCGUAGAUAUAAGGAAGAACACCAGUGGCGAAGGCGGAUUACUGGACGGUAACUGACGGUGAGGCGCGAAAGCGGGGGAGCAAACAGGAUUAGAUACCCUGGUAGUCCACGCUGUAAACGAUCAAUACUAGGUGUGCGGGGACUGACCCCCUGCGUGCCGGAG
rnacentral:rRNA from 1 species